rnacentral:rRNA from 1 species
UACAGAGGGUGCGAGCGUUGUUCGGAAUUAUUGGGCGUAAAGGGCGCGUAGGCGGUGCGGUAAGUCACCUGUGAAAUCUCCUGGCUCAACUGGGAGCUUGCAGGCGAAACUGCCGUGCUGGAGUGUGGGAGAGGUGCGUGGAAUUCCUGGUGUAGCGGUGAAAUGCGCAGAUAUCGGGAAGAACACCCGUGGCGAAGGCGGCUCUCUGGGACGGUACUGACGCUGAGACGCGAAAGCGUGGGUAGCAAACAGG